rnacentral:tRNA from 1 species
GCCUAGUUAGCUUAGUUGGUAGUGCGUCUGCCUUGUAAGCGCUAGGCCGUGGGUUCGAUUCCCGCCCGGAGCG